AUACGGAGGGUGCAAGCGUUGUCCGGAUUUAUUGGGUUUAAAGGGUGCGUAGGCGGCCCGUUAAGUCAGUGGUGAAAGGUAUCAGCUUAACUGAUGAAGUGCCAUUGAAACUAGCGGGCUUGAGUACAGACGAGGUAGGCGGAAUUUAUGGUGUAGCGGUGAAAUGCAUAGAUACCAUAAAGAACACCGAUAGCGAAGGCAGCUUACUAGACUGAGACUGACGCUGAGGCACGAAAGCGUGGGGAGCAAACAGGAUUAGAUACCCCAGUAGUCC
rnacentral:rRNA from 1 species